CCAAUAGCGUAUAUUAAAGUUGUUGCAGUUAAAAAGCUCGUAGUUGAAUUUUGGGUUUGGCCGAUUGGUCCGUUCUUGUAACGAGUACUGGUCGGUUGGGCCUCACCGCCUGGUGAUGCGUAAUGUCCUUUAUUGGAUGUUGCGAGUAGCCAGGACUUUUACCUUGAAAAAAUUAGAGUGUUUAAAGCAGGCUUAUGCCGGAAUACAUUAGCAUGGAAUAAUAGAAUAGGACGAUGAUUCUAUUUUGUUGGUUUCUAGGACCAUCGUAAUGAUUAAUAGGGAUAGUUGGGGGCAUUAGUAUUCAAUUGUCAGAGGUGAAAUUCUUGGAUUUAUUGAAGACUAACUACUGCGAAAGCAUUUGCCAAGGAUGUUUUCAUUAAUCAAGAACGAAAGUUAGGGGAUCGAAGACGAUCAGAUACCGUCGUAGUCUUAACCAUAAACUAUGCCGACUAGGGAUCGGGCGAUGUUGUUUCAAUGACUCGCUCGGCACCUUAUG
rnacentral:rRNA from 1 species